rnacentral:lncRNA from 13 species
CUAUGAGGUACCACGGUGGCCACUGUGAAGUCACUUCCUUACUGACAUUCUGUAGCUAAAGGGGCCCCUUGGGGAGGGAGGUGCUUUGUGUCCGGAGCCCUGGGGCUGCUCUGCCUGCCUGGGAGGUGGGAGGUCCUCAGCCUUAGGGUGAGGCGGUGGCUUGGGAGCUGACCCUGCUCUGCGCCGGACACUUGCAGACCCUCUCCAACUGCAGGGCUGCGGCCACCCCUAGUGGAUGCUGACUGACGGAGCUCGCCCGAACAAUUGAUGAGUCUGGCCUCUCCGCUCUCCGUUCUGGAGCCUGGGCCUUGCUCUUCUUUAUGCACAGCAAAAUCGUUGUUGAGAACGUCUUAUGCUAUA